CCUACGGGAGGCUGCAGUGGGGAAUAUUGGACAAUGGGCGAAGGCCUGAUCCAGCCAUGCCGCGUGUGUGAAGAAGGCCUUCGGGUUGUAAAGCACUUUCAGUGGGGAAGAAAGCCUUGGGGCUAAUACCCUCGAGGAAGGACAUCACCCACAGAAGAAGCACCGGCUAACUCCGUGCCAGCAGCCGCGGUAAUACGGAGGGUGCGAGCGUUAAUCGGAAUUACUGGGCGUAAAGCGCGCGUAGGCGGUCUGAUAAGCAGGUUGUGAAAGCCCCGGGCUCAACCUGGGAACGGCAUCCGGAACUGUCAGGCUAGAGUGCAGGAGAGGAAGGUAGAAUUCCCGGUGUAGCGGUGAAAUGCGUAGAGAUCGGGAGGAAUACCAGUGGCGAAGGCGGCCUUCUGGACUGACACUGACGCUGAGGUGCGAAAGCGUGGGUAGCAAACAGGAUUAGAUACCCUGGUAGUC
rnacentral:rRNA from 1 species